CACUGUUACAGUUCUUUUAGAAUCAGCCUAGCAAAUUUUCUGGCUUAUCCCGGAAAAUCCCC
ensembl:snRNA U7 U7 small nuclear RNA